AGGAGAGUUUGAUCCUGGCUCAGGAUGAACGCUAGCUACAGGCUUAACACAUGCAAGUCGAGGGGCAGCAUGAAGGAAGCUUGCUUCCUUUGAUGGCGACCGGCGCACGGGUGAGUAACGCGUAUCCAACCUUCCCCUGACUCCGGAAUAGCCCGGUGAAAACCGGAUUAAUGCCGGAUGCGGUCUAGAGAGGACAUCUGACCUGGACCAAAGGCUUGCCGGUCAGGGAUGGGGAUGCGUCUGAUUAGGUUGUUGGCGGGGUAACGGCCCACCAAGCCGUCGAUCAGUAGGGGUUCUGAGAGGAAGGUCCCCCACAUUGGAACCGAGACACGGUCCAAACUCCUACGGGAGGCAGCAGUGAGGAAUAUUGGUCAAUGGGCGAGAGCCUGAACCAGCCAAGUAGCGUGGAGGAUGACGGCCCUACGGGUUGUAAACUCCUUUUAUCAGGGGAUAAAGUCCGCUACGUGUAGCGGUUUGCAGGUACCUGAUGAAUAAGGACCGGCUAAUUCCGUGCCAGCAGCCGCGGUAAUACGGAAGGUCCGGGCGUUAUCCGGAUUUAUUGGGUUUAAAGGGAGCGCAGACGGGCUGUUAAGCGUGACGUGAAAUCCGGGGGCUCAACCUUCGGCUGCGUCGCGAACUGGCGGCCUUGAGUGGACGGUAGGCAGGCGGAAUUCGUGGUGUAGCGGUGAAAUGCUUAGAUAUCACGAAGAACCCCGAUUGCGAAGGCAGCUUGCCGCAGUCUUACUGACGUUCAUGCUCGAAGGUGCGGGUAUCGAACAGGAUUAGAUACCCUGGUAGUCCCCU
rnacentral:rRNA from 1 species